UACGGAGGGUGCAAGCAUUAAUCGGAUUUAUUGGGCGUAAAGGGCGUGUAGGCGGAAUUAUAAGUCAGGUGUGAAAUCCCGGAGCUCAACUUCGGACCCGCAUUUGAAACUAUAAUUCUAGAGGAUAGGUGGGGAAAACAGAAUUCCACAUGUAGCGGUGAAAAUGCGUAGAUAUGUGGAGGAAUACCGGUGGCGAAGGCGGUUUUCUAACUUAUUCCUGACGCUGAGGCGCGAAAGCAAGGGGGAGCAAACAGG
rnacentral:rRNA from 1 species